GGUUAAUGCAUUAUGCAUAAGCAUCAGGGAAAUAAAAAGCCAUGCAGGAAAGCAGUGCAGCUCAGCUGCUUCCUAAACCCAGAGCUUGUUAUGCAAAGGUUGUACCAUGAAGCAGUCCCACCCCUCCAGCUACUGGUAUCUUCCACCAGUGGGAUCCUGCCAGAGCUUUGGGCUCUUUUACCACUUCCCUCCUUGCCUGGAUUGCUAAGAGAUUAACCAAUUUUAAACAGUCCCAUUUAUCCCGAGACAUGGACACGUGAAAUAUCCUGCAGUGAUUGAAGUGCUGAAUCUCCCAGUAUUCAAGAUGAAUCUUCGUUUCACUGAAUCUUUUGACACGUAUUAUUUAAGCGAGAGCCCUCUUAAGUCUUCAUUUGCUUGUGUGUUUUGCAUCAGGCAGGAACACAGGAGCUUGCCAUGGAGAUCAGAUUUGAGGCCAGUCCACCCUUGUGUCUCAUCCCUGACAUUGAACAGAGCAUCAGCAGAGAGCACUGGAGGCUGUAGGACACUAAGCUGGAGGAGGGAUGACUUCACUGCGUUGGAGGUGAUUUAAUCCUCAGUUGGCCAUGCCUCAGGUGGCUCUGCUGCUGCAGGUGCCUUGCUGCAAGGGGCACAUGAAGUGCUGAGCUUUCUCAAGAGCACUGAAAGCCCCUUCUCUCCGAGUUGUCUCAUGCAGCAGAUGAUGGCUUCGUGAAGAACAAAGCAGAGGACCAUUUACAGUAAGAGGAGUGUGCUUUGCUGAGUGCAGAGUGUUUGCAGCUCUUAAUGAUGCAGAACCUCUUUUAGGUGGCUGUGGGAAAGGGGUGACUCUGAGCAGUGUGCAAUAUUUGUUUCACACUAGCAAAGGCUGGAAUGUCGCAGGCAGCAGGAAUGGUUCUUUGCUUUUGGGCCCACAGAACUCUAACAUAUCUGCUUUCUGCUCUGCACCAAGGCUGAGCCCGUUGCAAACUAACACAGCAUCCCUUUGUUCACAACAGAGCAAUUCUAACUGCCCUAGCUUGCAGCAUUCCCAGCAUUCAGACACAGUUAGACCCUCAACAAAACCAGCGUCUGGAAGCCCAGGGUCUGACUGACAUUGCUAUGAAACAGUUCUGAGCUUUCAUCUAGCACAGCUUGUGCCACAUGAUGGGGAGCAAGAAAUCAAGAUCAGUCUUUGACCAUUUGUUUGCUUUGUCCAUGUUAGGUUGGGCCAGGGGGGAAACCAGAAAAC